rnacentral:rRNA from 1 species
UGAGCCUGGUGCUUGCCCGGGUUGGAUGACUGGCGAACGGGUGAGUAACACGUGAGUAACCUGCCCCUGACUUCGGGAUAAGCCCGGGAAACUGGGUCUAAUACCGGAUACGACUGCCGGACGCAUGUCUGGUGGUGGAAAGUUUUUUCGGUUGGGGAUGGGCUCGCGGCCUAUCAGUUUGUUGGUGAGGUAAUGGCUCACCAAGACGACGACGGGUAGCCGGCCUGAGAGGGCGACCGGCCACACUGGGACUGAGACACGGCCCAGACUCCUACGGGAGGCAGCAGUGGGGAAUAUUGCACAAUGGGGGAAACCCUGAUGCAGCGACGCAGCGUGCGGGAUGACGGCCUUCGGGUUGUAAACCGCUUUCAGCAGGGAAGAAGCGCAAGUGACGGUACCUGCAGAAGAAGUACCGGCUAACUACGUGCCAGCAGCCGCGGUAAUACGUAGGGUACGAGCGUUGUCCGGAAUUAUUGGGCGUAAAGAGCUCGUAGGUGGUUGGUCACGUCUGCUGUGGAAACGCAACGCUUAACGUUGCGCGUGCAGUGGGUACGGGCUGACUAGAGUGCAGUAGGGGAGUCUGGAAUUCCUGGUGUAGCGGUGAAAUGCGCAGAUAUCAGGAGGAACACCGGUGGCCAAGGCGGGACUCUGGGCUGUAACUGACCCUGAGGAGCGAAAGCAUGGGGAGCGAACAGGAUUAGAUACCCUGGUAGUCCAUGCCGGUAAACGUUGGGCACUAGGUGUGGGGGGCAUUCCCCGUUUUCCGCGCCGUANCUAACGCAUUUAAGNGCCCCCCUGG